UCUUCAAGUGAAGGUCCCUGUUAACGGGUUCAUUCAAUACUACUUGGGCGAGGGCACCAAGGGAGUGGAGAAGGAUAGAAGUCACCAAGGUGGCACUUUACGAAUCGUUCUGAGAUCUUUUGCAUGGAGUGUUUUUUGAUGCAAGCUUCGAGGAUUGGUUUUGGAAGAAGAUUUGUGAAUUGGCACUCUAACAGGCCACUUGGGCUGCUUCGAGUGGAAGUACAGAAAUCGGACAGACAAUGGUCUCUCUGGGAAAGGACCUCUUUUUCGACUUCUGCUGACAUCUCUCAAUUUUGGGCCAGAAAACGGAAAUGUUGAUUGACUGUCAACAAUCAUCCAAUUGAACAAUGGGUCUUGAAGAUGGAUGUGUUGGGCAGCCAAUGGUGGGAAGCACUGGGGAGAGGGGUGGGACAGUUGGUGGCAGGAAGUCAUAUGGAAAGCCGCCAAGCAGAGUUGGCAACUGUCAUCCUCACACCAGCCAUCCUUCUGUGAGUGAGUGAGACUUGAUGCCUGCAGCCAAGUACUGCCUUGUCCUUUAUUAAUCUGGAUUGGAUUCAAAUUGGGGCAUCGAGGAUUGUGUUCCAAACCACAGCAGAUGUCAUUCCGUGGUUCCCCAGUAAUCCAGGUUCUCGUCUGCUGGAUUUUUAUUUCAUUUUUGUCACUGAAUUAUGAAGCGGAGAUUUGGAAAAGAAAAUAAUUGAAAUGAGAAAAUGUACCGAAAGUUGAAAAUAAAAAUCCUCCAAUGUCGUUUUGCAUGCUCGACAGCGUCUAAC